AGUGAACGCUGGCGGAAGGCCUAACACAUGCAAGUCGAACGGCAGCACAGAGGAGCUUGCUCCUUGGGUGGCGAGUGGCGGACGGGUGAGGAAUACAUCGGAAUCUACUCUGUCGUGGGGGAUAACGUAGGGAAACUUACGCUAAUACCGCAUACGACCUACGGGUGAAAGCAGGGGAUCUUCGGACCUUGCGCGAUUGAAUGAGCCGAUGUCGGAUUAGCUAGUUGGCGGGGUAAAGGCCCACCAAGGCGACGAUCCGGAGCUGGUCUGAGAGGAUGAUCAGCCACACUGGAACUGAGACACGGUCCAGACUCCUACGGGAGGCAGCAGUGGGGAAUAUUGGACAAUGGGCGCAAGCCUGAUCCAGCCAUACCGCGUGGGUGAAGAAGGCCUUCGGGUUGUAAAGCCCUUUUGUUGGGAAAGAAAUCCAUCUGGUUAAUACCCGGGUGGGAUGACGGUACCCAAAGAAUAAGCACCGGCUAACUUCGUGCCAGCCGCCGCCGUAAGAC
rnacentral:rRNA from 1 species